UGGCAAACCACUUCAGUAUUCUUGCCUGGAGAACGCCAUCAACAGUAUGAAAAGGCAAAAAGAUAGGACACUGAAAGGUGGACUCCCUAGGUCGGCAGGUGCCCACUGUGCUACUGGAGAUCAGUUGAGAAACAACUCUUCAGAAA